AUGUUUACAAGUGUGCAUGCAAAAUAUAAGAGACUGCUUCAGAAGCUGGUAUUAAAUUGGUCGAACAAGGCUUUUUGUCCCAAAGGUUACACUGCAUUCAUUUUGUUCAUAAUCCAUGAGGCUGUUUGGGGUUUCUUUGUUUCCUCUAUUCUUUUUAAUGUUAUUUGUCAUCUCUAUUUUUUAAUUCUUUCUAUCUUGUACUACUGGGAUGAUUGUCAUCUUGGGCAAAAUUGCAACAAGGAAAUGAGCAUGCCCAGAGCAGAGCGAGUCGCUGGACUACUUCUUUGGAAGUUAUCUAUGGCUGCUGUUCUUACCAGACUAAAGUAUUUUAUUUUAGGCUAA